rnacentral:rRNA from 1 species
UCGACGGAGAGUUUGAUCCUGGCUCAGGACGAACGCUGGCGGCGUGCCUAACACAUGCAAGUCGAACGAGAUCCAUCCGGUGGCAACACCGGUGAAGAUCUAGUGGCGAACGGGUGAGUAACACGUGAGCAACCUAUCCCGAAGACCGGGAUAACACCGGGAAACCGGUGCUAAUACCGGAUACCCCCACCGGGUCGCAUGGCCUGGUGAGGAAAUGGAUUCCGCUUCGGGAGGGGCUCGCGGCCUAUCAGCUAGAUGGUGGGGUAACGGCCUACCAUGGCAUCGACGGGUAGCUGGUCUGAGAGGACGAUCAGCCACACUGGGACUGAGACACGGCCCAGACUCCUACGGGAGGCAGCAGUGGGGAAUCUUGCGCAAUGGGCGAAAGCCUGACGCAGCAACGCCGCGUGAGGGACGAAGGCCUUCUGGGUUGUAAACCUCUUUCAGUAGGGACGAUAGUGACGGUACCUGCAGAAGAAGCCCCGGCCAACUACGUGCCAGCAGCCGCGGUAAUACGUAGGGGGCGAGCGUUGUCCGGAAUCAUUGGGCGUAAAGAGCUCGUAGGCGGCUUGGCAAGUCGGGUGUGAAAUCUCCAGGCUCAACCUGGAGUCGCCACUCGAUACUGCCAUGGCUAGAGUCCGGUAGGGGACCACGGAAUUCCUGGUGUAGCGGUGAAAUGCGCAGAUAUCAGGAGGAACACCAGUGGCGAAGGCGGUGGUCUGGGCCGGUACUGACGCUGAGGAGCGAAAGCGUGGGGAGCGAACAGGAUUAGAUACCCUGGUAGUCCACGCCGUAAACGUUGGGCACUAGGUGUGGG